rnacentral:tRNA from 1 species
GCGAGAAUGGCGGAAUGGCAGACGCGCCGGAUUUAGGAUCCGGUGGGGCAACCCGUGGGGGUUCGAGUCCCCCUUCUCGCACCA